GAAGUAAAAAGUCGUAACAAGGUCUCCGUUGGUGAACCAGCGGAGGGAUCAUUACCGAGUUUACAACUCCCAAACCCCUGUGAACAUACCUAUACGUUGCCUCGGCGGAUCAGCCCGCGCCCCGUAAAACGGGACGGCCCGCCCGAGGACCCCUAAACUCUGUUUUUAGUGGAACUUCUGAGUAAAACAAACAAAUAAAUCAAAACUUUCAACAACGGAUCUCUUGGUUCUGGCAUCGAUGAAGAACGCAGCAAAAUGCGAUAAGUAAUGUGAAUUGCAGAAUUCAGUGAAUCAUCGAAUCUUUGAACGCACAUUGCGCCCGCCAGUAUUCUGGCGGGCAUGCCUGUUCGAGCGUCAUUUCAACCCUCAAGCUCAGCUUGGUGUUGGGACUCGCGGUAACCCGCGUUCCCCAAAUCGAUUGGCGGUCACGUCGAGCUUCCAUAGCGUAGUAAUCAUACACCUCGUUACUGGUAAUCGUCGCGGCCACGCCGUUAAACCCCAACUUCUGAAUGUUGACCUCGGAUCAGGUAG
rnacentral:rRNA from 1 species